rnacentral:rRNA from 1 species
UACGUAGGGGGCGAGCGUUGUCCGGAAUUAUUGGGCGUAAAGAGCGUGUAGGCGGCCAUACAGGUCCGUUGUGAAAACUGGAGGCUUAACCUCCAGACGUCGAUGGAAACCGUAUGGCUAGAGUCCGGAAGAGGAGAGUGGAAUUCCUGGUGUAGCGGUGAAAUGCGCAGAUAUCAGGAAGAACACCCGUGGCGAAGGCGGCUCUCUGGGACGGUACUGACGCUGAGACGCGAAAGCGUGGGGAGCGAACAGG